rfam:Setaria italica strain Yugu1 unplaced genomic scaffold scaffold_32, whole genome shotgun sequence.
GGGGAUGUAGCUCAAUUGCUAGAGCGUUAAUCCAUGCAUGAUAAAGGUAUGGGGUUCAACUCCUCGCAUCUCCA